rnacentral:rRNA from 1 species
AGCGAACGCUGGCGGCAGGCCUAACACAUGCAAGUCGAACGGACCCUUCGGGGUUAGUGGCGGACGGGUGAGUAACACGUGGGAACGUGCCUUUAGGUUCGGAAUAGCUCCUGGAAACGGGUGGUAAUGCCGAAUGUGCCCUUCGGGGGAAAGAUUUAUCGCCUUUAGAGCGGCCCGCGUCUGAUUAGCUAGUUGGUGAGGUAAUGGCUCACCAAGGCGACGAUCAGUAGCUGGUCUGAGAGGAUGACCAGCCACAUUGGGACUGAGACACGGCCCAAACUCCUACGGGAGGCAGCAGUGGGGAAUCUUGCGCAAUGGGCGAAAGCCUGACGCAGCCAUGCCGCGUGGAUGAUGAAGGUCUUAGGAUUGUAAAAUCCUUUCACCGGUGAAGAUAAUGACUGUAGCCGGAGAAGAAGCCCCGGCUAACUUCGUGCCAGCAGCCGCAGUAAUAC